rnacentral:rRNA from 1 species
UAGAGUUUGAUCCUGGCUCAGGAUGAACGCUAGCUACAGGCUUAACACAUGCAAGUCGAGGGGAAACGACAUCGAAAGCUUGCUUUUGAUGGGCGUCGACCGGCGCACGGGUGAGUAACGCGUAUCCAACCUGCCCACCACUUGGGGAUAACCUUGCGAAAGUAAGACUAAUACCCAAUGAUAUCUCAAGAAGCCAUCUGAAUGAGAUUAAAGAUUUAUCGGUGAUGGAUGGGGAUGCGUCUGAUUAGCUUGUUGGCGGGGUAACGGCCCACCAAGGCUACGAUCAGUAGGGGUUCUGAGAGGAAGGUCCCCCACAUUGGAACUGAGACACGGUCCAAACUCCUACGGGAGGCAGCAGUGAGGAAUAUUGGUCAAUGGGCGAGAGCCUGAAUCAGCCAAGUAGCGUGCAGGAUGACGGCCCUAUGGGUUGUAAACUGCUUUUAUAAGGGAAUAAAGUGAGCCUCGUGAGGCUUUUUGCAUGUACCUUAUGAAUAAGGACCGGCUAAUUCCGUGCCAGCAGCCGCGGUAAUACGGAAGGUCCGGGCGUUAUCCGGAUUUAUUGGGUUUAAAGGGAGCGUAGGCCGGAGAUUAAGCGUGUUGUGAAAUGUAGACGCUCAACGUCUGCACUGCAGCGCGAACUGGUUUCCUUGAGUACGCACAAAGUGGGCGGAAUUCGUGGUGUAGCGGUGAAAUGCUUAGAUAUCACGAAGAACUCCGAUUGCGAAGGCAGCUCACUGGAGCGCAACUGACGCUGAAGCUCGAAAGUGCGGGUAUCGAACAGGAUUAGAUACCCUGGUAGUCCGCACGGUAAACGAUGGAUGCCCGCUGUUGGUCUGAAUAGGUCAGCGGCCAAGCGAAAGCAUUAAGCAUCCCACCUGGGGAGUACGCCGGCAACGGUGAAACUCAAAGGAAUUGACGG